GACGUAGGGGGCGAGCGUUGUCCGGAUUCAUUGGGCGUAAAGAGCGUGUAGGCGGCCUGGCAAGUCUGCUGUGAAAACUCGAGGCUCAACCUCGAGAUGUCGGCGGAAACUGUCUGGCUAGAGUCCGGAAGAGGAGAGUGGAAUUCCUGGUGUAGCGGUGAAAUGCGCAGAUAUCAGGAAGAACACCUAUGGCGAAGGCAGCUCUCUGGGACGGUACUGACGCUGAGACGCGAAAGCGUGGGGAGCGAACAGG
rnacentral:rRNA from 1 species